rnacentral:lncRNA from 1 species
AGCGCCUCCCGCCGCGCAGGCUCGGCGUUGGCCUCCGCGGCCCGUGCGAGUGCGCCCUUCUCGGGUCCCCUAGGUCGCGGGGCAGCCGGGGCGGAAGGGGCUUGUUCAUUAUUUUGAGAGUUUGUUGUGAACGUCAUAACCUUUCGUCCUUAAAUAUUGCCGAUACUUGACCUACGCAAGAGACAAUGUCAUGUGAUUCAGCCUAAUAUCUCAGAGGAUGCAGCAUUCAAGGUUCUAUCUUGGAAGCAGAGACUGUGCCCUCACCAGAUGCUGAACCUGCUGAGCACCCUGAUCUUCCACUUCACCUUCAUCAGAACUGGUGCUAAGAAUUCUGAAUUUAUUGAGGAAAUAAAUGUCUGAUUGCAACAAAAGAAAACUUGUCUGGCUUUGGGAAGGAAGAGGCUUAGGAAAAAAAUUAAAGGCGUCUUUACUAGAAGUUCAAGACUGGGGCUGUGGCUGAGAUGUCACAUGGCAGAUAGGAUCACAAAUUUCUGUUGUAUCUGGAUGGAGAUCAGCAGGAGGAUCUAUGGACUGCUGUGAUUGCACCUGCCAUCUUAUGCAGAAAUGACCUGAAGACAGACUGAAACAACGUGUUCUACAGCCUGAAAAUAUCUACCUUGACUUACAGUUUUAUUAAUGCUGGUGUGAUCAGACUGGACAAAAAUUAGCAUAUGUUAUUAACUGAUCUAAUUCAAGUGCCAAUUCUUAAUAGAAACACAAAACAAUAAAAGCAAUUCAGAAAAUAUUUACUAUUUGAUUUCUUCAAGCUCCAAACAGGCUUGUGCUUAGCUGUAGAAACUUGAAUAUAUACAAAUCUACAUGGAUAGAAUUCUUAGUCUUCUUUGGGCCAGGUGUGUUAGCCCCUUGGGAAAGGAUAAAGUUUUGGAAUAUAUUUUUAUUCAUGAACCUGCUCUCUUUAAGACUUCUGAGGAAAAGAGCUGCUGGGCAGAUGAGUAGAAUAUGUUACUACUGUUCCGACAUGUCUACCCAUCAAAACUAGCUGAUACAGUACACUUUAAUGACCCUUCUAUAGUCAAAACUGACAUUGACAUUGACAUUAACAGAAAAGAUUUGGGACAAAGAACUGUGUUCAUGCAGCAAAUCAGCCUCAAACUUCACCACAAGCUGCACAUUUUAUGCUACUGUAUUCUGCUUAAGCACUUAUUUGUAUUUAUGUAAACUGAAUGAUCCUUUAAUACUUAAGGACUUUAUUCUGGGUGAGUUAGAAUCACACUGUUUUGGCAGGAAAACUCUUUGAUAGGAAAAACUGUAUGGCUUGAUAAUUUAAGAGCUAAAAGUAGCCAAAUCAGGAACUACUGAAAUUCUUCAGUAUCUGUUAGAAUAUCUCCUGUUUGAGCCAUGUUUGUAAAUGAUGUUCAAAGGCAUUUCAAAAGCAUGUAAAUUAAAAAAACAAUUCAUUUG